rnacentral:rRNA from 1 species
GACGAACGCUGGCGGCGUGCUUAACACAUGCAAGUCGAACGGAAAGGCCCUGCUUUUGUGGGGUGCUCGAGUGGCGAACGGGUGAGUAACACGUGAGUAACCUGCCCUUGACUUUGGGAUAACUUCAGGAAACUGGGGCUAAUACCGGAUAGGAGCUCCUGCUGCAUGGUGGGGGUUGGAAAGUUUCGGCGGUUGGGGAUGGACUCGCGGCUUAUCAGCUUGUUGGUGGGGUAGUGGCUUACCAAGGCUUUGACGGGUAGCCGGCCUGAGAGGGUGACCGGCCACAUUGGGACUGAGGUACGGACCAGACUCCUACGGGAGGCAGCAGUGGGGAAUAUUGCACAAUGGGCGGAAGCCUGAUGCAGCAACGCCGCGUGCGGGUUGACGGCCUUCGGGUUGUAAACCGCUUUCGACUGUGACGAAGCGUGAGUGACGGUAAUGGGUAAAGAAGCACCGGCUAACUACGUG